rnacentral:rRNA from 1 species
UACGGAGGGUGCAAGCGUUAUCCGGAUUCACUGGGUUUAAAGGGUGCGUAGGCGGACAGGUAAGUCAGUGGUGAAAUCUCUGAGCUUAACUCAGAAACUGCCGUUGAUACUAUUUGUCUUGAAUAUCAUGGAGGUAAGCGGAAUAUGUCAUGUAGCGGUGAAAUGCUUAGAUAUGACACAGAACACCGAUUGCGAAGGCAGCUCACUAAACUGUAACUGACGCUGAGGCACGAAAGCGUGGGGAGCAAACAGG